GCUUAUAUACACAGGUGGUUUUCAACAAACUCAGCUGCAUGUGAUUGUACACUGGGUCUAUUCAUUCACAUGACUGUGUCUUAUGUCACACACUUUCUCCAGCACAUGGUUUACCAGAGAUGGUCAACCUCAGCUUGUGGAUCGGGUAUCCUCUACCUCGGCAACAAUCUGUUGGCACCUUUACACAGGCAGAAAAUAGAGAAACCAGCACACGGGGCAAUUUCCUGUCUUCCCUCUUCCAUGUUGGAUUUUAAAAUAGAUCUUUUAGGGUCCAGGAAGACAUGGAUUGACAAGGAUGGCAUGGAAGAACUUCAGUGGCCUACAUUCAGCACUGCCCACAACUACACUGAACCUCUGAACCACUGAUCACUAACUAUAUGUCAGGAGAAUUCCGGUGUGGACUUGUGUGGAUCUGCACUAUUUAAUUUUUCAGCAUUACCUGGGGGAUAAUUUUCUCAACAGAAUUUUGCCCACUCUACAGUAUAUGCCAAGUCAAGUGGAAAAAGUGUCAAAUGUCUGUCCAUUCAUCUUCAUCAAGGGGUCCUCUGUGAAACCAGACAGGAACAAACCAUAGAAACCCAACUGCAAGGAAAUAUGAGCCCCGUCUUCCUUCUCACCAUGUGCCUGAAUGAGAUACCACAUGCAAUUUUAUUCAGUGUAGAUCUGUGAGCAAACAUA